rnacentral:rRNA from 1 species
GAUGAACGCUGGCGGCGUGCCUAAUACAUGCAAGUCGAGCGAACAGACGAGGAGCUUGCUCCUCUGACGUUAGCGGCGGACGGGUGAGUAACACGUGGAUAACCUACCUAUAAGACUGGGAUAACUUCGGGAAACCGGAGCUAAUACCGGAUAAUAUAUUGAACCGCAUGGUUCAAUAGUGAAAGACGGUUUUGCUGUCACUUAUAGAUGGAUCCGCGCCGCAUUAGCUAGUUGGUAAGGUAACGGCUUACCAAGGCAACGAUGCGUAGCCGACCUGAGAGGGUGAUGGGCCACAGUGGAACUGAGACACGGGCCAGACUCCUACGGGAGGCAGCAGGAGGGAAUCUUCCGAAAGGGGCGAAAGCCUGAGGGAGAAACGCCGGGUGAGUGAUGAAGGUCUUCGGAUCGUAAAACUCUGUUAUUAGGGAAGAAAAAAUGUGUAAGUAACUAUGCACGUUUUGACGGUACCUAAUCAGAAAGCCACGGCUAACUAAGU